UCCUUUGCAGACUCCCAGGCCACGGGCUUCGGUUUCCGGAAAAUGCAGAUCGGGACAGCAGAUGAAAUAAAGCCAUCACCAGCCCACAGGACGGUCUCAAGAGGAGUGACUGUCCCUGUCCUCUGCAGUUGUUGCCAGAGAGCAAUUUGCCCUUGAAUCCAAUCUACCAUCCCUAAACUGACAAUUUCAUUUCCCUCCCAGCCCACCCCCUGCCCCGAAGAUCUGCUGAAGCCGCGAGUUCCAGCUGAAGAGCCGGCAGGAUAAUAGAACCUCAGGGCCCUUGGUAAUGAAGAAGUCAGAGUACCCACAGAAAGGCAGGAUUCACGAAUAAUUCCCCCUGCUUACAAUCACUGGGGAUGUCCGGGGGAGAUAUGGAACAACUACUUCUUCUGGGAUGCUGAAAAAGGGUUCCUGCAUGGUAGGAGAAACUGGAAUUGACAUCCCCUUCAAAGACUCCACGCUUCAAGACAGCACUGUGAAUUUUGAGGGCACUUAAAGAAACGUGCAGAAAGAUACUGCAACUUCUUAAGAAGAUGCUGAUCUCUGCCUUUUCCCACUCAUUCGUUCAGUGCUUGCAGAACACCUGCUACGUGGCAGACGUUGCUGGGGACCGACAGUGGAUUAGGUAUGGUCUUUACCCCCAGGAGAGACAGACACAAUAAGCCCGUGUUUUCAGGACAGCUUGUUGCGUACAAUGAGUCUACGUGGGGCGCUAUAUGACAAAGGGGAUGUUGUGGCUACUUUGGGAGAGUUCCACCGAAGAAGUCUUCAGAGAAGGAAAACAUUCGCCUUGGGUCUUGCGCGUCAGAUGAGUGGGAGUGCCCCCGACAGCUAAGAGGCACAGACAUUCUCAGAACAGGGAACACCCUCUUCUCUUUUCCUUCCUGACAGCCUCGUGAAACAGAGAACAGAAUGGCGUGUAGCUGUUUUGUAAAAUGGGAAAGGUUACUGACAGAUCAACUGGUGAGCCUCCGAAGUUGCAAGAGUCCUCUGACCCCUGCCCUGGGACUCGCCACCAUAUCUGAGCUAUUCUAUUAACAAUUACCAACCUUCGGGUUCAUGCCUAAUACCCAUCAUCCUUCCCUGGCUGGGGAGUUACCAGUUGAGGUGAUCCCUCUAUUUUUGAAAUGCCGAUCAAAUGGACAAAGCUUAUUUCCAUCUCUGCCUCAACUUUUAUAAGUAUCAAGGAAUGCCCCAACAUUGCCCCCAUCCCACUCCCAACUCCGACCCACUCAAAUCAAAAGAGGAGUUCAAAACCUCAACCUUGAAAAGCUUCUGGAACCCAAUAGGCUCUGCCUUGCUUGCCUCAUCACAUCCAUUCCCACAGCACGGGCAAGUCAGCUUGGUCAGCGGGCUCAGAGAUGGUGGGAAUGAGGCGUCAAGGUCAGUAGCUCCCAGCCUGGGCAAUUCCACAGCGACUGAAGUUUCUGGAGUGGCAAUAAGGCCAGCCACAAAUGCUUGUAACUGCUGUCCCGUGUAGCUGCUGUCCUGCCCUGACGCAGGACCCCUCGCUAGAGAACAGCACUGGGCAGUUUCUCUCAGGUUGUGAUCGUGUCGUCUCUGCAUGGCUCCCAGGAACUCAGCCCCGUCAGAAACUCCCAUUUUCCUGUGUU